CCCGUCGGCUGAGCGGCUGC
rnacentral:miRNA from 1 species